rnacentral:rRNA from 1 species
AAGGCCCCUUCGGGGGUACACGAGCGGCGAACGGGGAGAAACAAGGUGAGCAACCUACCCUCAACUUUGGGAUAAGCCUCGGAAACGGGGUCUAAUACCGGAUAAUAUCGGCCGCCUCAUGGUGGUUGGUUGAAAGUUCUGGCGGUUGGGGAUGGGCUCGCGGCCUAUCAGCUUGUUGGUGGGGUAAUGGCCUACCAAGGCGUCGACGGGUAGCCGGCCUGAGAGGGCGACCGGCCACACUGGGACUGAGACACGGCCCAGACUCCUACGGGAGGCAGCAGUGGGGAAUAUUGCGCAAUGGACGAAAGUCUGACGCAGCAACGCCGCGUGAGGGAUGACGGCCUUCGGGUUGUAAACCUCUUUUCAGCAGGGAMGAAGCGAGAGUGACGGUACCUGCAGAAGAAGGACCGGCCAACUACGUGCCAGCAGCMGCGGUAAUACGUAGGGUCCGAGCGUUGUCCGGAAUUAUUGGGCGUAAAGGGCUCGUAGGCGGUUCGUCACGUCGGGAGUGAAAACUCGGGGCUUAACCCCGAGCCUGCUUCCGAUACGGGCAGACUAGAGGUAGGCAGGGGAGAGCGGAACUCCUGGUGUAGCGGUGGAAUGCGCAGAUAUCAGGAAGAACACCGGUGGCGAAAGGCGGCUCUCUGGGCCUUACCUGACGCUGAGGAGCGAAAGCGUGGGUAGCGAACAGGAUUAGAUACCCUGGUAGUCCACGCCGUAAACGUUGGGCGCUAGGUGUGGGGGACAUUCCACGUCCUCCGUGCCGCAGCUAACGCAUUAAGCGCCCCGCCUGGGGAGUACGAGYCGCAAGGCUAAAACUCAAAGGAWUUGACGGGGGGCCCGCACAAGCGGCGGAGCAUGCGRAUUAAUUCGAUGCAACGCGAAGAACCUUACCUGGGUUUGACAUWUWGGGAAAUCUCGCWGAGMUGCSGGGUCCGUAMGGGUCCUAUACAGGUGGUGCAUGGCUGUCGUCAGCUCGUGUCGUGAGAUGUUGGGUUAAGUCCCGCAACGAGCGCAACCCUCGUCCUAUGUUGCCAGCACGUCCUUCGGGAUGGUGGGGACUCAUAGGAGACUGCCGGGGUCAACUCGGAGGAAGGUGGGGAUGACGUCAAGUCAUCAUGCCCCUUAUGUCCAGGGCUUCACGCAUGCUACAAUGGCCGGUACAAAGGGCUGCGAAACUGUAAGGUGGAGCGAAUCCCAAAAAGCCGGUCUCAGUUCGGAUUGGGGUCUGCAACUCGACCCCAUGAAGUCGGAGUCGCUAGUAAUCGCAGAUCAGCAACGCUGCGGUGAAUACGUUCCCGGGCCUUGUACACACCGCCCGUCACGUCAUGAAAGUCGGCAACACCCGAAGCCGGUGGCCUAACCCUUGUGGAGGGAGCCGUCGAAGGUGGGGCUGGCGAUUAGGACGAAGU